rnacentral:misc_RNA from 1 species
GAUGAAGAACGCAGCGAAAUGCGAUACUUGGUGUGAAUUGCAGAAUCCCGUGAACCAUCGAGUCUUUGAACGCAAGUUGCGCCCGAAGCCAUUAGGCCGAGGGCACGCCUGCCUGGGCGUCACACGUCGUUGCCCCCCCAUCUACUCCUUCGGGAUUGCGGGGGGCGGAUGAUGGCCUCCCGUGCGCCUCGUCGCGCGGUUGGCAUAAAUACCAAGUCCUCGGCGACGCACGCCACGACAAUCGGUGGUUGCGAAACCUCGGUUGCCCGUCGUGUGCGUUCGUCGCGCAUCGAGGGCUCGAAAAAAUGCUCGGCUCCGGCUGGGCUUUCAACGCGACCCCAGGUCAGGCGGGGUUACCCGCUGAAUUUAAGCAUAUCAAUAAGCGGAGGA